CAGCAUCGUCGAAACUAGCAAUCCAAGAGUGAAAGGUUCAUCUUUUUCAUAUAAAUAUGUAUAUUAUGGAUAUUUCAAACCUGUAGAACAAGCAAUUCACAUACCUCUUUUUUGGCAAUAGCCUGCUCAACACGUUCUUUCCGAGUACGCUCAUUGACCUUGCGCUUUUUUAAAAGCACCUCAGGUUCAAGCAUAGUCUGUUGUACAACCGGUGCAUCCUCCGCCAUUUUAUCGUCUGUUAGUAACGAGUAGAGGGCACGUUGGGACUAUAGACAGACGAAAAAUUAUAGCUAUGAAAUGUGACU